UAACAAGGAUUCCCCUAGUAACUGCGAGUGAAGCGGGAAGAGCUCAAAUUUAAAAUCUGGCWGUCUUCUGGCUGUCCGAGUUGUAAUCUGGAGAAGUGUUUUCUGUGUUAGACCGUGUACAAGUCUCCUGGAACGGAGCSUCAUAGAGGGUGAGAAUCCCGUCCAUGACACGGACUACUAAUACUUUGUGAUACGCUCUCGAAGAGUCGAGUUGUUUGGGAAUGCAGCUCAAAAUGGGUGGUAAAUUCCAUCUAAAGCUAAAUACAGGCGAGAGACCGAUAGCGAACAAGUACCGUGAGGGAAAGAUGAAAAGCACUUUGGAAAGAGAGUUAAACAGUACGUGAAAUUGUUGAAAGGGAAACGCUUGAAGUCAGUCGCGUUGUGCAGAACUCAGCCUUGCCUCGGCUUGGUGCACUUUCUGCAUAACGGGUCAACAUCAAUUUUGGUCCAUGGAGAAAGGUGGGGGGAAUGUAGUGCUGUUUCGGCAGUGUGUUAUAGCCCUCUAUUGUAUACAUGGGCUGGGAUUGAGGAUCGCAGCACGCCCUUGUGGCCGGGGGUUUCGCCCUACGUACCGUGCUUAGGAUGUUGGCAGAAUGGCUUUAAGCGACCCGUCUUGAAACACGGACCAAGGAGUCUAACAUGCUUGCGAGUGUUCGGGUGGAAAACCCUUGUGCAUAAUGAAAGUGAAAGUUGGGAACCUCCGCAAGAGGGUGCACCGACGCCCGGCCCUGACGUUCUCUGACGGUGCUGCGGUAGAGCAAGUAUGCUAGGACCCGAAAGAUGGUGAACUAUGCCUGAAUAGGGCGAAGCCAGAGGAAACUCUGGUGGAGGCUCGUAGCGAUUCUGACGUGCAAAUCGAUCGUCAAAUUUGGG
rnacentral:rRNA from 1 species